AUGGGCCUGCCAACUAAAUCUAUCAAAGUGAACAGGGGUGUGCGCCAGUUUGCAGUUUUGCCUGUAACUGGCGCUACAUGUCAACAGAAGGGUGGUAAAUGUGACAGGGACGAGGGGUCGUCCAACUUCGUUUGGAGGGGAAGGCAUGGGACAAAGCACAUCGACAAGGCCAACCGGGGCACAUAUGGCGAGUUGUUCUACCUAGGGAGGUGCUCGUCCCUCUUCUGUGACUCUUUGUCCUUCUUGCAACCAAACUUGCGACCAUGGCUGGGAGCCUUGCAGUCGGUCUGUCAAACCAUUAGUUCUCAGCCCCCAAAAAAUAUCCCCCUAAGGACGGAAAAGUUGCAUAAACACAGGCAUUGUCAGGCUCGCACAUAUAUUGUCAUUCAUCACUUCGGCCGGACAACCGAUGCUCUAUUCAACCCCAAAGCGCGCUCACCUUCCUCCCGCUCAUGGAGGCCGACGCCGUGGCGCCGGACCUCGUGCUCUUCUCCAACCUCAUCCACCUCGCUCGCCCUCUGCGCCGGCGACGCGCCCAAGGCGCUCGCACUCUUCUCCAGCCUCCGCGCCGCGGGGAUCAGGCCCGACCUCAAGGCCUACAACGCCGCCAUCGCCGCCUACUGCAAGUCCGACCUGCUCCGCGACGCCAAGCGCCUGCUGCUCCACGACGUCCCCGCCGACGGCGUGGCACCCGACGCCGAGUCCUACGCCCCGCCCGACCUCUCCAUCUUCAACAUCGUGCUCAACGCGUACGGGCAGCUGGACCUCGCGCGCGACGCCGACCGGCUCUUCUGGUCCAUGCGCCGGGCCGGUGUGCCGCCGAGCGUCGGCACGUACAACACCAUGCUCCGCGUGUACGGCGACGCCGGGCUGUUCGGGGAGGCGGUUCACCUAUUCGGCCUCAUGUGCAGCACCGCCUUCGCCCUCCGACGGCGGCAGCAACGGCGUCGUCAGCCCCAACGUGAUGACGUACAAUACAACACCAUGAUCGCCAUCCACGGCAAGGCGCUGGAGGACGACAAGGCCAGGAGCCUGCUCGACCGCGCCGCGAAGCUCUUCGAGAAGCUGCGGGAGUCCGGCACGGAGAUGGACCCGGUGCUGUACCAGACGAUAGUGGUCGCGUACGAGCGCGCCGGGCUUGUCUCACAGUCCAAGCGACCGCUGCGCGAGCUCAGAGACCCGGACCAGGCCAUCCCCAAGGACACGACCAUGAAGCAGCGCCGGGCGGGUGGAGGAGGCCGCGUGGCUGUUCGUACAACAAGCAUGGACGGAGGGAGAUCCGGCGACACUGAGGAAGAGAAACGAUCCCCGCCAGCACCGUUCGUGAGAGAAGCGGCAACCUCACCCCACGCUCACCUGCUUCUCCCUCGUCCGUCAUGGGAACAUGGCGGCAUGGCGCCCAUUAUACCGCGGCCACCCGUUCGUGCAAGGGGGUCUCCGUGGGAUUUGGGGUGGCUAACAGCAUCUCCAACAGCCGCGCUACGCGCCGCGCGCUAA
rnacentral:rRNA from 1 species